rnacentral:lncRNA from 1 species
CUGGAGACUUCAACCUGUGCCCUUUGGCCUAAACCUUCAGGGUCCUAACCUGUCCAAUCUCUCUCUCCUUCCUCAGGAAUCACUUCAAUUCCCUGACUACUUGGUUGGCUUUCUUUGAGAUUCCUUCCAGAUAUCUGGCCUUUUCACCCUGGAGUUCCUGCAUCCAGAGUGGCUCUUCUGUAAAGAAAAAGACCAUAAAAAGCAGAGUAUGAAAUUUGGAGGGCCUCUUCAACAGCAUAUAAAGAGACUCUUAUCUGCUGCAUCCACAAGGUGGGAAAAGUCAGGCCCAGGACUUUGUCGUGGGAGUGGCCCCAAUCCUCCAAAAUGGAUUGAGUUCUUAACCUCCGCAGAUCUGCUGUAUCAAUUCAGGAGCUGAGGUGGGAAGGAGGCACCCUGAGGACUGAGAUGGUGUCAUUCUGGUGGAUGCACUUGACAACCUUGAAGCCCCAGAUCCCUCGAAACCCCAUGACCCUGCUCCGGUGAGCCACCCCUCCAGCUAGAGGUUAGCUGGAAGACCAUGCAGACAGAAGCAGUUGCCUUUCAAAGCCCUGUAUACUCCUCUCAGGAUGUACACCUGCCUCUCCUCCCAGCACCAAACCAAAAUCAGGGGUCAAGUCUUAACAACACAGCUGGGGAAGUGUAAGACACCUGCCAAAGGAUGGAAGUGACUGUCCCCAGGAGAAGAGUUCAUAGGGCCUGGAUCCUGGAGGUAUGGACCACCCAGGGAUAGGGGCACAAGAUUGCACAAGGGAGAGUUUGUUGAUGUGGAAGCACUUCUAUAUCCAUAUACCACAUGUGACCCCUGGGAGAAAGUGCCAAAGUGCUGCAAAGAUAGAUCUUGGAAGCUUGGAGACAGCAGUGGUACACAUCAGAUGAAGCAGAAAUUUCCGUGCCACUGUGGCAGAUGAGGAAGCAAGAGUCAAAGGCUUGGAGGUGCACAUUCCCCAGUACGCUAACUGCGUACAGAAACCCAGCUUCAAAAAACAACUUAAAAUGGCCAGGAAGACGGCAGUAGUUCAGAUCCUUUGGAGUCCCAGCCAUCUUAGAGCUCAAGAUAAGUUUGUGAGCAUUGCGAAGCAAAAGAAAAAAAAGAAAGAGAUUCACCAUCUAGCCAGCUGCGUAAAGAAGAAAUCCAUUCCCACCUGUCUGCAUUUGAUUGAACCUCCAUGAACCGCCAAUGCCACGCACCCUGGAGGAACCAGAUUAAAGACCUACAGGAGACAUCAUAUAGAUCUUCUUAGACAGGUGCUUUUCACACCUCUGCAGUUUAUCUAAGGCUCACUUCACAAAGACUUGGAGGGAGCCCUGCCCUUCCUGAAGCACAUGAAGUAAAAUAAACCCAGAGCUAAAGGUAAGAUGCUCAAGAC